GCUGAGUGGAAGUUCAGAUGUGAAUAGUGGAUUGUGAUUCUACAUUUAGAAAUCUAGACAUCAUCCAGGAGGACAAUGUAAAGCAGGUUGUUGGGAGAGAUCGUUAGUGUGUGCGAUGUUCUCCACAGUGCAGCUUUCCUCAGGACACACAGAGAAACGAGACAACACAGUCACCAACACGGCCUUCAUCA